GAUCAUGGCUCAGGAUGAACGCUGGCGGCGUGCAUAACACAUUCAAGUCGAACGGGCAGUAUUCCUUCGGGGGUGCUGCUAGUGGCGGACGGGUGAGUAACGCGUGAGCAACCUGCCUCUGUGAGUGGAAUAACACAGGGAAACUUGUGCUAAUACCGCAUGACGAAGCGAAGCCGCAUGACUUUGCUUCCAAAGAUUUAUCGCACAGAGAUGGGCUCGCGUCCGAUUAGGCAGUUGGUGAGGUAACGGCUCACCAAACCGACGAUCGGUAGCCGGACUGAGAGGUUGAACGGCCACAUUGGAACUGAGAUACGGUCCAGACUCCUACGGGAGGCAGCAGUGGGGAAUAUUGGGCAAUGGGCGCCAAGCCUGACCCAGCGACGCCGCGUGAGGGAAGAAGGUCUUCGGAUUGUAAACCUCUUUGACAGGGGACGAAGUAAGUGACGGUACCCUGAAAACAAGCCACGGCUAACUACGUGCCAGCCGCUGC
rnacentral:rRNA from 1 species